GAAGGUCGGCAAGACCCGCAUUAUCACGGCGCGUCGGUUUCUGACGAUACUCGAAAAGUGAAUAUUCGGGUGCUCGAGCGGAUUUACCACGUAUACUUUCAGUACGAGCCGGGGCCGCUCAGCCGUCGAGCAGGAACGAAAGUUGGUCUUAGUGAUCCGGUGGUUCUGUAUGGAAGGGCCAUCGCUAAUCGGAUAAAAGGUACGCCGGGGAUAACAGGCUGAUUCCUCCCAAGAGUCCACAUCGACGGAGGAGUUUGGCACCUCGAUGUCGGCUCAUCACAUCCU
rnacentral:rRNA from 1 species